AUUGAACGCUGGCGGCAGGCCUAACACAUGCAAGUCGAGCGGAUGAGAGGAGCUUGCUUCUCGAUUCAGCGGCGGACGGGUGAGUAAUGCCUAGGAAUCUGCCUGGUAGUGGGGGACAACGUUUCGAAAGGAACGCUAAUACCGCAUACGUCCUACGGGAGAAAGCAGGGGACCUUCGGGCCUUGCGCUAUCAGAUGAGCCUAGGUCGGAUUAGCUAGUUGGUGAGGUAAUGGCUCACCAAGGCUACGAUCCGUAACUGGUCUGAGAGGAUGAUCAGUCACACUGGAACUAAGACACGGUCCAGACUCCUACGGGAGGCAGCAGUGGGGAAUAUUGGACAAUGGGCGAAAGCCUGAUCCAGCCAUGCCGCGUGUGUGAAGAAGGUCUUCGGAUUGUAAAGCACUUUAAGUUGGGAGGAAGGGCGUUUGGCUAAUAUCCAGGCGUUUUGACGUUACCAACAGAAUAAGCACCGGCUAACUUCGUGCCAGCCGCCGCGGUAAUAC
rnacentral:rRNA from 1 species